rnacentral:rRNA from 1 species
UACGUAGGUGGCAAGCGUUAUCCGGAUUUAUUGGGCGUAAAGAGAACGCAGGCGGUCUUUUAAAUCUGAUGUGAAAGCCUUCGGCUUAACCGGAGUAGUGCAUUGGAAACUGGGAGACUUGAGUGCAGAAGAGGAGAGUGGAACUCCAUGUGUAGCGGUGAAAUGCGUAGAUAUAUGGAAGAACACCAGUGGCGAAAGCGGCUCUCUGGUCUGUAACUGACGCUGAGGUUCGAAAGCGUGGGUAGCAAACAGG